rnacentral:rRNA from 1 species
GUCUACGGCCAUGCUACCCUGAACAAGCUUGAUCUUGUCUGAUCUUGGAAGCUAAGCAGGGUCGGGCCUGGUUAGUACUUGGAUGGGAGACCACCUAGGAAGACCAGGUGGUGUAGGUG